UAUUGAUUUCAGGGUAGGACUUAGGAGGGUAAAGCCUCCAAGGCAAGAGGACAUGGGUUCCCAAAGCCUGAAUUCCACCUUUCUAAAAGUCAGGAGACUUUCAUUAAUUUCCAGUAAUGAAAGAUUACUUGGACAAACCUCUGGAUUGGCCACUGGGUCGAGGUUGGUAACCCAGGAGGUUGAUGACCUCAGGGUCAUCCCAGGAAGUAGACCGGAUCUGGAUGAUCAUCAGCCUCAGUGUAGCCUGGCGGAGCUGCCUAGCACUGCUCAUGGCAAGAGGAAGCCAGGCCAUCUUCCACGCCUUAGAAGCAGUGCUGUCAAGGGCCAUGCCCCUGACCCUAAUCCAAGCUUGUCUAUAGUCUCCAAAAGAAUCUUUAAGGGCGAAUCUGUGAUCAAAGGGCCCGAGGACAGGCAGACAUUUGUUGGGCCCAGUGGCUUGCCAAAGAUUAGCCCCAAAGCAACAGCAGGGGAGGCCCAAGGGAAGAAGAGGACAAUGGAGUUGCUUAACAAGGCUCGAAAGCAAGAAGAAAAAGUCUCAAACCUACUAGAUAUCAGACAGCUCCCGAAGCAAGAGGUGUUUAUUAACAACACACACCCAUGCAAGAAACAUCUGAAACAGCAACCAAUGAGCCUUGAGGAAUGGAGGAGGGGCCAUCUAGGGGGAGACAACACAGGACUCAUAUCACAAGAACCUUUCAGGUGCUGCAAACGUCUUGGAAAGAAGGCACAAUGUCAACUGUUGGAAGUAACUUCCCUAGAGGCAGAAGCCAGCCUGGAGGUCCUCAAGAGGAGGAGGAGGAUGCAGGCUAUGGAGAUGUCCAAAAAACCUCAGGACAGAGGACUCGGUCAAGAAAAAGCAGUCUUCCUAAGCAGAGAGAAAGUAAAACCAUCUUCUCAUGACAUGCAUCUGAGCACUGCUGAAAGAAGCUUUAAACCUAAAUCAAUGCCAAAGGCAGAAGACUGGGACCUCUCAGUCCAGGGAACUCCUGUAGUGCUUACAGUUCGGGACCACAGCAAUGUCUCACAGGCUCAGAAACAUUUGGGCUGUGCUGAAAUAUUUCAUUCCAGAGAUGGGCGAUGUACUUUAUUGAAGAGAGGAGGAGCCUAGAGAGAGUAGACACUUUCUCUGCAUCCUGCUCGAGCACAAUACAGGAACGAGGACCAGAUUACCUUCACCAGCGACUGUGACUUCAAUGGGCCAGGUGACUGAGGCACCCAUUGUUCCACAUGGGAAUCAGACAGAAUUCCAAGAGUCCGUCACCAUCCCGUGUAUUCCAUGUGAAAGCAAGAAUUGAAGAUAAGACAACUUUAGGAAACAUCAAUGAGGAGAACAAAAUAGAGUCUUGUCAAGUGUGACGAGAUUAUCAGUCAAUUGGAUGGAAAUCGUACUGCACUGUAGGAUUAGCAGCAUCAGACAAUGGGGGACUAGACUAUUCAGUGGUUGGUGACAUAUGAGGCAGAAUACCUGGGGCCCUGGGCUUCUCUCUUGGGGGAGCUCCCCUAUGGUGGUGCUUUAGGACCCACUAAGGAACAAAUUGCUGAAGGAAAUAUAAGUAGAGAUAUAGUAUUUUUCCGGAGAAAUAUUUUUGUUGGACCUCAAUCCACCAAGUUCCAGGCAGUUGAGCUGCUACAGUAAUUUCCUGGACACUCCAGAUCUUUGGAUAUUGACCACCUUUACAGGGAAAAAAAAAAGAAUGAUGUGUUCUGUAAACACCGAGCAAGGCAUAGAAAAUGUAAUGUCUUAAAUAAAACUGUUUCAGAUCUGCA
rnacentral:lncRNA from 1 species